rnacentral:rRNA from 1 species
UCUUGGGUAUUUAGAGGAAGUAAAAGUCGUAACAAGGUUUCCGUAGGUGAACCUGCGGAAGGAUCAUUCAUAAUAAGUGUUCUACUGCACUUUUUAAACAAGUACUCACCUUGUGUGCAAUGUUUGCUGUCGUGUCGUUUUUUCGUCACGACAGCACAAUACCAACCUUUUAUUGUAACUUUUUUGUCUGAAGCUAUUUCGAAUACAUAAUUCUAAAUACAACUUUCAACAACGGAUCUCUUGGCUCUCGCAUCGAUGAAGAACGCAGCGAAAUGCGAUACGUAAUGUGAAUUGCAGAAUUCAGUGAAUCAUCGAAUCUUUGAACGCACAUUGCACUCUCUGGUAUUCCGGAGAGUAUGCUUGUUUGAGUAUCUGUAAACAUCUCAAAUCUCUCUUCAAUUGUUGAGAGAAUUGGAUUUGAGCGAUCCCGACUCCUUCGUCAGAAAGAGGAGGGUCGCUUGAAAUGCAGGUGCAGCUGGACAUUCUUCUGAGCAAAAAGCAUAUCUUUUUAGUCCCGUCAAACGGAUUAUUACUUUUGCUUCAGCUAAUAUAAAGGUUGAAUGAACUACCAACGCUGAUUGCAGGAAAACAUGUUCGUUUAUUCGGACUUGUAAACUCGAUCUCAAAUCAAGUAAGACUACCCGCUGAACUUAAGCAUAUCAAUAAGCGGGAGGA